UACGUAGGGUGCAAGCGUUGUCCGGAAUUAUUGGGCGUAAAGGGCUCGUAGGCGGUCCGUCACGUCGGGAGUGAAAUCCUGGGGCUUAACCCCAGAACUGCUUCCGAUACGGGCAGACUAGAGGUAGGUAGGGGAGAAUGGAAUUCCUGGUGUAGCGGUGGAAUGCGCAGAUAUCAGGAGGAACACCAGUGGCGAAGGCGGUUCUCUGGGCCUUACCUGACGCUGAGGAGCGAAAGCGUGGGGGAGCAAACAGG
rnacentral:rRNA from 1 species